UACGUAGGGUGCAAGCGUUAAUCGGAAUUACUGGGCGUAAAGCGUGCGCAGGCGGUUUUGUAAGUCUGACGUGCAAUCCCCGGGCUCAACCUGGGAAUUGCGUUGGAGACUGCAAGGCUAGAAUCUGGCAGAGGGGGGUAGAAUUCCACGUGUAGCAGUGAAAUGCGUAGAGAUGUGGAGGAACACCGAUGGCGAAGGCAGCCCCCUGGGUCAAGAUUGACGCUCAUGCACGAAAGCGUGGGGAGCAAACAGG
rnacentral:rRNA from 1 species